rnacentral:rRNA from 1 species
UGCCUGUCACAUGCAAGUCUGGGAGAAUUGGGUAGCAAUAUCCAUAGUAAACCGGCGCACGGGUGAGUAAUAUAUAGGUAAUAUGCCUUUUGGUUUGGAAUAACUCCGCAAAAGCGGUGCUAAUACCGAAUGAUGUCCCGACACGGCCUCGUGUCGGGAUUAAAGCUUUGGCGCCAAAAGAUUAACCUGUAUCCCAUUAGAUAGUUGGCGAGGUAACGGCUCACCAAGUCUGCGAUGGGUAGCUGAUCUGAGAGGAUGAUCAGCCACACUGGAACUGAGACACGGUCCAGACUCCUACGGGAGGCAGCAGUGAGGAAUAUUGCGCAAUGGAGGAAACUCUGACGCAGCGACGCCGCGUGAAGGAUGAAGGCCCUCUGGGUUGUAAACUUC